GGUUCGAUCCUGGCUCAGAUUGAACGCUGGCGGGAUGCUUUACACAUGCAAGUCGAACGGCAGCACGGAUGACUGGUCUGGUGGCGAGUGGCGAACGGGUGAGUAAUGUAUCGGAACGUGCCUAGUAGCGGGGGAUAACUACGCGAAAGCGUAGCUAAUACCGCAUACACCCUUCGGGGAAAGCGGGGGACCUUCGGGCCUCGCACUAUUAGAGCGGCCGAUAUCGGAUUAGCUAGUUGGUGGGGUAACGGCUCACCAGAGGCGACGAUCCGUAGCUGGUUUGAGAGGACGACCAGCCACACUGGGACUGAGACACGGCCCAGACUCCUACAGGAGGCAGCGGUGGGGAAUUUUGGACAAUGGGGGAAACCUGAUCCGGCCAUCCCGCGUGUGCGAUGAAGGCCUUCGGGUUGUAAAGCACUUUUGGCAGGAAAGAAACGGCGGGAUAAUACCCCGUGCAACUGACGGUACCUGCAGAAUAAGCACCGGCUAACUACGUGCCAGCAGCCGCGGUAAUGCGUAAGUGCAAGCGUUAAUCGGAAUUACUGGGCGUAAAGCGUGCGCAGGCGGUUCGGAAAGAAGAUGUGAAAUCCCAGAGCUUAACUUUGGAACUGCAUUUUUAACUACCGAGCUAGAGUGUGUCAGAGGGAGGUGGAAUUCCGCGCGACAGCAGUGAAAUGCGUAGAUAUGCGGAGGAACACCAGUGGCGAAAGGCAGCCUCCUGGGAUAACACUGACGCUCAUGCACGAAAAGCGUGGGAGCAAACAGGAUUAGAUACCCUGGUAGUCCACGCCUAAACGAUGUCAACUAGCUGUUGGGGCCUUCGGGCCUUGGUAGCGCAGCUAACGCGUGAAGUUGACCGCCUGGGAAUUACCCGGUCGCAAGAUUAAAACUCAAAGGAAUUGACGGGGACCCGCACAAGCGGUGGAUGAUGUGAUUAAUUCGAUGCAACGCGAAAAACACCACUACCCUUGACAUGUCUGGAAUCCCGAAGAGAUUUGGGAGUGCUGCGAGAGAACCGGAACACAGGUGCUGCAUGGCUGUGUUAGCUCGUGUCGUGAGAUGUUGGGUUAAGUCCCGCAACAGAGCGCAACCCUUGUCAUUAGUUGCUACGAAGAGGCACUCUAAUGAGACUGCCGGUGAUGACUGGAAACCGGAGGAAGGUGGGGAUGACGUCAAGUCCUCAUGGCCCUUAUGGGUAGGGCUUCACACGUCAUCACAAUGGUCGGGACAGAGGGUCGCCAACCCGCGAGGAGUAAUCCCAGGAAACCCGAUCGUAGUCCGGAUCACCCAGUCUGCAACUCGACUGCGUGAAGUCGGAAUCGCUAGUAAUCAUGAUCAUGUCGCGGUGAAUACGUUCCCGGAGUCUUACACCCCCGCCCGUCACACCAUGGGAGUGGGUUUUACCAGAAGUAGUUAGCCUAACCGUAAGGAGGGCGAUUACCACGGUAGGAUUCAUGACUGGGGUGAAGUCGUAACAAAGGUAA
rnacentral:rRNA from 1 species